CCUACGGGUGGCAGCAGUGGGGAAUAUUGCACAAUGGGGGAAACCCUGAUGCAGCGACGCCGCGUGAGUGAAGAAGUAUCUCGGUACGUAAAGCUCUAUCAGCAGGGAAGAAAAUGACGGUACCUGACUAAGACGCCCCGGCUAACUACGUGCCAGACGCCGCGGUCCUACGUAGGGGGCAAGCGUUAUCCGGAUUUACUGGGUGUAACGGGGGCGUAGACGGUGAGACAAGUCUGAAGUGAAAGCCCGGGGCUCAACCCCGGGACUGCUUUGGAAACUGCCUGACUGGAGUGCUGGAGAGGCAAGCGGAAUUCCUAGUGUAGCGGUGAAAUGCGUAGAUAUUAGGAAGAACACCGGUGGCGAAGGCGGCUUGCUGGACAGUAACUGACGUUGAGGCUCGAAAGCGUGGGGAGCAAACAGGAUUAGAUACCCUUGUAGUC
rnacentral:rRNA from 1 species